rnacentral:lncRNA from 1 species
AUGUGCAGACGCGGAGACAUAAACGUUCACUGUUUGAGCUCAGAGAUACCCAACCCAGCUGGAAGGGGAGAAAAAGAAUGUCUGUGGGAUCCUGUUAGACUUCUAUCCUUCCCCUACAGUUUCAUCAGGAUCAAACGGAUUCUACAGAGCCGCGAGCCGAGCGCAAAUCAGAUGCACACGCGAAGCUGUGAUAAAAUAGAGCUUUGCAGGAAGAGAAGAAAGACCUAGUGGCCGCCCACCCGGAGCCAAGGAGCGUCCCCGCCGCCGUGCAAGGGGGACGAACAGGCCGCCGAAGCUCUGAGCACACAGCGUCAGGGGCUGCCUGUGGC